rnacentral:rRNA from 1 species
AAUGGACGAAAGUCUGAACCAGCCAUGCCGCGUGAAGGAUGAAGGUCCUCUGGAUUGUAAACUUCUUUUAUCUGGGACGAAAAAAGGGAAUUCUUUCUCACUUGACGGUACCAGAAGAAUAAGCACCGGCUAACUCCGUGCCAGCAGCCGCGGUAAUACGGAGGGUGCAAGCGUUAUCCGGAUUCACUGGGUUUAAAGGGUGCGUAGGUGGGCAGUUAAGUCAGUGGUGAAAUCUCCGGGCUUAACCCGGAAACUGCCAUUGAUACUAUCUGUCUUGAAUACUCUGGAGGUAAGCGGAAUAUGUCAUGUAGCGGUGAAAUGCUUAGAUAUGACAUAGAACACCGAUUGCGAAGGCAGCUGACUGGACCUAUAUUGACGCUGAGGCACGAAAGCGUGGGGAGCGAA